rnacentral:tRNA from 1 species
GCCCGUGUGGCUCAGUGGGUUGAGCGUCGACCUUUGAACCAGGAGGUCACGGUUCGAUUCCCGGUCAAGGGCA